rnacentral:tRNA from 1 species
GGAGGGAUGGCCGAGCGGUUGAUGGCGGUAGUCUUGAAAACUACUAUGCGCGUAAGCGUAUCGGAGGUUCGAAUCCUCCUCCCUCCG